CGAAAAUUGAAGAGGGCUUUGGGCCGAACAGCCUUGGAAUUCUGUCAAUUUCAGAUGUUCCUGAGUAUACUUUGUUGCAUCGAAACCUACUUCUUCUUUCACCUAGAUUAGCCAACCUGCCAGAAAGUGUGAAACAGGAGCUGGAAGAUCCUCAUAGAAGGUAACUAAACUUAUCCCAUGAUCAAUCCUUA